ACGUCCCCAUGAGUUCCCUUAAACGCUUCAUUGUUGAUCAUGCUCAAAUCUCGAUUUGUAUUUAACACUGAAGUGUUUGAGGGUGACUCUUGGUUACGU
rnacentral:pre_miRNA from 1 species